UUCUCCCUGCGUCUGACCAAAAUCGAUAAAUAAAAUACCGUUUUAAAGAUUAAAAAGCCGUGAAUCGUGAUACCCGACACAUGAUGUGCUGUCUCCGUCUUUCAAACGUACGACAAAUUUGCGUUCAACGUCGACAAUAAAUUUUGCUUUGUUAGUUUUGAUAUUAGAGGCAAUUGACCUGUCGAACCCGUGUAACAAUAUUUCAUUAUCCGUGUAACCAUGCAGGUGUUCUUCGAUAUUUUAAUUUUCAAGGUAGAUAUAAUAACAUUUUUAAAUGUUAUGAUAAUUCCCAUAGUAUGUUUUAUCUCGCUUAGAAAUUAGAAUAUUGAUAAAAAACUUCCACUGUUGCACAAAUAAUAUUAUGUCCACAAUAGUUGUGUAUUGUAUUUACACACUGUUUCGGGUUGUCUCGACAGCUUUACAUAAUGUGCAACGAAAAUCCGUUGCUACAAGGAAAUCUGCAACUCCGCCAUAGCUAUUACAGUUUUGUUGUUUGUUUUUAAAAUUGCCGUUUGUUAAAUAUCUUUUUCCGCUACUUUUUGACACUUUAAACAGCUUCUACAGGACCAAAUAAACUCAGACUCGAGAACUAGAGUUGUAUCCACCGUCGAAGUCAUACAAUUUUCGUUGAAUUUCAAUAUGAAUUUCACCGUGUUGUAUAGCGGGAGAAGGGUGUAUUUUUUAGCUUUGUAAUUCGUACAGACAUCCGAAAUUAAUAACAUUUUGUACAUGCAUGAUGUAAGUAUCAGGGAUGUGCCUUGUGCCCUUUUAAACCCCUCCACAACCAAAUUUCAUGUUUUCACGGGAAAUACCGGAUUUUAAAAAAAGUUUUAAGAAGGAAGCGCAGUUUAGGAACAGAUGCACUCGCACCCCUUUGCAAUUUGUAUCCAUAAUUCCAGGCCUAUUUUUUAACCGAUACUUUGACCGUAAUAUUCAGGCUUGAAUAUCAAAUUUCAUACAGUUUUAUAAUAACAAACAGGCCGGGUGUCUGCAGAUGAAAAUUGGUCUGUUCGCAGCCCCUUAUUAGAAUCUGAAAUUGCUACCCCUCCCCUCCCCCUUGUGACAAAAAAAUUACAAAAUAAAUCUAUGUGCACGCACUGUACGCACCAUUACAAUUACAAUACACUUACGUAUUCACGUAUUCGCAUAAUAAUAUAAAUUAUUUGCCAUUCAAAGUGUACCCAAUAACAAUUAUAGCGUUUGAAGUACACGCAAUAAUAUAAUACCCAACAACAAUAAUAUUAUGUAGGUAUCACGGCAGUGGC